GGUACCUUUAAUUCAGUCCAGAGAGGCUGACAAGGACAGCGGAAAUUUAUAAUCAAACACUAGUGGUGUAAUUAGAUUACACCCUUCUGUUUGAUUAUAAAUAGAAGGGUUUAUUGU
rfam:Bacillus sp. VT-16-70 Bacillus_obstructivus_contig179, whole genome shotgun sequence.